CCUACGGGUGGCAGCAGUGGGGAAUAUUGGACAAUGGGCGAAAGCCUGAUCCAACCAUGCCGCGUGUGUGAAGAAGGCCUUCGGGUUGUAAAGCACUUUCAGUGGGGAAGAAAGCCUUGGGGCUAAUACCCUCGAGGAAGGACAUCACCCACAGAAGAAGCACCGGCUAACUCCGUGCCAGCAGCCGCGGUAAUACGGAGGGUGCGAGCGUUAAUCGGAAUUACUGGGCGUAAAGCGCGCGUAGGCGGUCUGAUAAGCCGGUUGUGAAAGCCCCGGGCUCAACCUGGGAACGGCAUCCGGAACUGUCAGGCUAGAGUGCAGGAGAGGAAGGUAGAAUUCCCGGUGUAGCGGUGAAAUGCGUAGAGAUCGGGAGGAAUACCAGUGGCGAAGGCGGCCUUCUGGACUGACACUGACGCUGAGGUGCGAAAGCGUGGGUAGCAAACAGGAUUAGAUACCCCAGUAGUC
rnacentral:rRNA from 1 species